CAAUAAUAACAAUAAUAACAAUAGUAACAAUAAUAACAAUAACAAUAGUAACAAUAACAAUAGUAAUAACAAUAAUAACGAUUCAUCGGGACCAUAUAUUAAUUUAAAUAAAACUUUAAAUAACAAUACAUGGUCAGAUAUAGGUUAUAAUUAUCAAAAUUAUUUAGAUAGAGAAGAUCUCAAUACAGAUCAUAAAAUUUAUAACAGAAAUUCUUUAUUAGCAAGUAAUCCUACAGAUAAACAGAAUAAUAAUGUGUACAGUAAUAACAAACAAAGAACGCUUGAUAUAAUACAAGGUGACAAUAACAACAAUAAUAAUGGAAUUGAAAACGUUAGUCAUAUAAACAAUUCUACUGAUAUUAACAGCACAAAUCAUUUAUUUAAUACUAAUUAUGUUGAACCUUUUAAUACUAUGAAUAUUAUAAAAAACACCAGUACGAAUUCUGUAUCAAAUACCAACAGUAUAUUAUAUUAUCAGGGCCAGAUGAUUAACCAUAAUAAAAUUAAUAACAUGCAUGCCUACUUUGAUUCGGAUUUAAACGAUAUGAGAGACAUGGUGGAAGAUACUGAGAUAAAUGCACCUAAACCCAAACAGUUUUACAACAGCAGUUCUCAUUCUUUGGAGUUAGUAAA